rnacentral:rRNA from 1 species
AUUGAACGCUGGCGGCAGGCCCAACACAUGCAAGUCGAACGGUAGCACAGAGAGCUUGCUCUCGGGUGACGAGUGGCGGACGGGUGAGUAAUGUCUGGGAAACUGCCCGAUGGAGGGGGAUAGCUACUGGAAACGGUAGCUAAUACCGCAUAACGUCGCAAGACCAAAGUGGGGGACCUUCGGGCCUCACACCAUCGGAUGUGCCCAGAUGGGAUUAGCUAGUAGGUGGGGUAAUGGCUCACCUAGGCGACGAUACCUAGCUGGUCUGAGCGGAUGACGAGCCACACUGGAACUGCGGCACGUGCCAGACUCCUACGGGAGGCAGCGGUGGGGAAUAUUGCACAAUGGGCGCAAGCCUGAUGCAGCCAGGCCGCGUGUAUGAAGAAGGCCUUCGGGUUGUAAAGCACUUUCAGCGGGGAGGAAGGCGGUGAAGUUAAUAGCUUCACCGAUUGACGUUACCCGCAGAAGAAGCACCGGCUAACUCCGUGCCAGCAGCCGCCGUAA